rnacentral:rRNA from 1 species
AUUGAACGCUGGCGGCAUGCCUUACACAUGCAAGUCGAACGGCAGCGCGGGGGCAACCCUGGCGGCGAGUGGCGAACGGGUGAGUAAUAUAUCGGAACGUACCCAGGAGUGGGGGAUAACGUAGCGAAAGUUACGCUAAUACCGCAUACGAUCUAUGGAUGAAACGCAGGGGACCGCAAGGCCUUGCGCUCAUGGAGCGGCCGAUAUCUGAUUAGCUAGUUGGAGGUAAAGGCCUACCAAGGCGACGAUCAGUAGCUGGUCUGAGAGGACGGCCAGCCACACUGGGACUGAGACACGGCCCAGACUCCUACGGGAGGCAGCAGUGGGGAAUUUUGGACAAUGGGCGCAAGCCUGAUCCAGCAAUGCCGCGUGAGUGAAGAAGGCC